GCAAAGAAAAAUCCCUUUGGUUCCAGAAAAUCUCCUGAAAAAGAGGAAGGCUUAUCAAGCCCUCAAAGCCACCCAGGCAAAGCAGGCACUUUUGGCAAAGAAGGAGCAGAGGAAAGGAAAAGGGCUCAGGUUUAAGCGACUGGAAUCAUUCCUACAUGAUUCCUGGCGGCAGAAACGUGACAUGGUGCGUCUCAGACGACUAGAAAUGAAACCUCAUGCCUUGGAAUUGCCAGAUAAACAUUCCUUGGCCUUUGUUGUACGCAUCGAAAGGAACUUCAGCCUGAGACCUGAAAGAUGUGAAAGGCAUUCACCAGUGUUGGGAGACUUUCCAGGCAUAUGUGCUGAAGUCCUGAGGAUUGAUGGCGUGAGUUUACUGGUGCAGAGAACCAUUGCAAGACUUCGCCUAAAGAAAAUUUUUAGUGGUGUCUUUGUAAAAGUCACCCCCCAGAAUCUAAAAAUGCUGCGUAUAGUGGAACCUUAUGUGACCUGGGGAUUUCCAAAUCUGAAGUCUGUCCGAGAACUCAUUUUGAAACGUGGACAAGCCAAGGUGAAGAAUAAGACCAUCCCUCUGACAGACAACACAGUGAUUGAGGAGCACCUGGGGGAAGUUUGGCGUCAUUUGCUUGGAAGACCUCAUUCAUGAAAUUGCCUUUCCAGGGAAGCAUUUCCAGGAGAUCUCAUGGUUCUUGCGCCCUUUCCACC
rnacentral:sRNA from 1 species